AUAAUGGGUCAGCGACUUAUAUUCUGUAGCAAGGUUAACCGAAUAGGGGAGCCGAAGGGAAACCGAGUCUUAACUGGGCGUUAAGUUGCAGGGUAUAGACCCGAAACCCGGUGAUCUAGCCAUGGGCAGGUUGAAGGUUGGGUAACACUAACUGGAGGACCGAACCGACUAAUGUUGAAAAAUUAGCGGAUGACUUGUGGCUGGGGGUGAAAGGCCAAUCAAACCGGGAGAUAGCUGGUUCUCCCCGAAAGCUAUUUAGGUAGCGCCUCGUGAAUUCAUCUCCGGGGGUAGAGCACUGUUUCGGCAAGGGGGUCAUCCCGACUUACCAACCCGAUGCAAACUGCGAAUACCGGAGAAUGUUAUCACGGGAGACACACGGCGGGUGCUAACGUCCGUCGUGAAGAGGGAAACAACCCAGACCGCCAGCUAAGGUCCCAAAGUCAUGGUUAAGUGGGAAACGAUGUGGGAAGGCCCAGACAGCCAGGAUGUUGGCUUAGAAGCAGCCAUCAUUUAAAGAAAGCGUAAUAGCUCACUGGUCGAGUCGGCCUGCGCGGAAGAUGUAACGGGGCUAAACCAUGCACCGAAGCUGCGGCAGCGACACUGUGUGUUGUUGGGUAGGGGAGCGUUCUGUAAGCCUGCGAAGGUGUGCUGUGAGGCAUGCUGGAGGUAUCAGAAGUGCGAAUGCUGACAUAAGUAACGAUAAAGCGGGUGAAAAGCCCGCUCGCCGGAAGACCAAGGGUUCCUGUCCAACGUUAAUCGGGGCAGGGUGAGUCGACCCCUAAGGCGAGGCCGAAAGGCGUAGUCGAUGGGAAACAGGUUAAUAUUCCUGUACUUGGUGUUACUGCGAAGGGGGGACGGAGAAGGCUAUGUUGGCCGGGCGACGGUUGUCCCGGUUUAAGCGUGUAGGCUGGUUUUCCAGGCAAAUCCGGAAAAUCAAGGCUGAGGCGUGAUGACGAGGCACUACGGUGCUGAAGCAACAAAUGCCCUGCUUCCAGGAAAAGCCUCUAAGCAUCAGGUAACAUCAAAUCGUACCCCAAACCGACACAGGUGGUCAGGUAGAGAAUACCAAGGCGCUUGAGAGAACUCGGGUGAAGGAACUAGGCAAAAUGGUGCCGUAACUUCGGGAGAAGGCACGCUGAUAUGUAGGUGAAGUCCCUCGCGGAUGGAGCUGAAAUCAGUCGAAGAUACCAGCUGGCUGCAACUGUUUAUUAAAAACACAGCACUGUGCAAACACGAAAGUGGACGUAUACGGUGUGACGCCUGCCCGGUGC
rnacentral:rRNA from 1 species